GUCCAGCCUCGGCGUGGCAAGCGGGAUCGCAGCAGCACCCCGCGGUUGCACCCCCACGACCCCAAAGGCGCUGGGGUGGGAGCAGCAGCGGGGGCUGAAAUCCUGCAGGCAGCCCCGGCCAAGCUCGGGGAGCACGACAGCAGCGCAGGUUGGACCCCCCGGCCCCAAAAGGCUCUGAGAGAUUCAGCUUACGUGCCAGCCCCACUGGUUAUGAAGGUGUAGAGCAGAGCAGCGAGGAUGGGUCCCUGCAAGAGAGAUGCGUCUGGUGGGUAAAAGGAGCUCUCCAGGGACGUGUUUUCCACUCUCGUCACUGCCACUGACUCAUUCCAGGAAAUCACAGGAAAAUAUUCAAUCCCCCAUUUGGAAGAAAAUAAGGAGAACCAACCACAGGCUUGUGUCCCUGAUAGUGAGGUCAAACCCAGGGAAGGUCGGUCUCGGUGAGGUUAUUGCUGGAGUUGGUUUCUUCCCCAUCCGCGAGUGUGAGGUUUCGGGUGCAGCUGUGCAGACACGCCAGGGCAGGAUGCUGAGCCACGGGGAUGUCGAUACUGAUCCAGACUCUCAGCUCCUAUGAGAAGCAUUAGCCCUCAGAUAGCUGGAAAUUGUACUUUUGGAACUGGGAGGCAAAGGCAGCCGGAGGUAAAGAAGCUUUUCUCCAGCUUCCCGUGCUCUGAUGAGGAUUGUGGUUCUCAAAAUGUGAUGGGCAAAUGAGUGAAUGACAGUCAACCAACCUCCAUGCAGUAUAACCCACAUGUUAUUCAGCCCUGAAAAUUAUUUCAACCCGGCAAUGGCUACCUGAGUGGCCACGUUAGGAGGCAAAAUUAAAGAGCCAAUUUCAAAUUCAAGAAAUAAAGGAAUAAAAAUGUUUGCUAAUUAUUUAGUUUGUGGAUAUUGCAUCAAUGUCGAUCAAACUUCAUGGCAUUUUUAGACAGUAAAUAACAUCCUCCUUAUCUCAAAAAUUGAAAACCUGUCAGGCUCACAAUGAUGAGAGAGAAGGAAAAAGAUGCUAAAACACACUAUAACAUGACAGUGCUUGGACUGGAAUUUAAAUUGGUCUUAUACCUUUCAGUGGAACUAAACUCAGCUAUAACCACGUUAUGAAACUGUGAAAACCUGUAUAGGAGCUCAAACGGGAAUAUGUCACACCACAAGAACAGCUGUGUUAAGAGAUGACACCCCAGAGGCUGAUGUAUUUUAAAAUGACAGCUCAGCCUUCUCACUCUUAGAGAAAGGAAAAUAAUAAUAUUUAUUAUUUUAAAGGAUAUUUUUGUUGUGGGUUUUCUUACUGAAAAUAAAGCUUUUGUGAUCAAAUAAAAAAAUUGUUACCAAUAACAGUUUCAUCACCAACUUUUUUGAGAGAAAAGCCUCAUGUUUGGAAAAAGGGUGAAUUGAAAAAGUGAAUAGUUCUAAUUUUCAACCAGGACAAGGCAUAAGUACUUUAUGCAAGAUUAAGCAGCAAGGCAGGAGUGAAGUGAGGAGACAGAACUCCUGGGUCCCUGCUGUGUGUGUGGCCCUACCCCUAUACUGCGCUUCUUUCCAUAUAUUUACAGUAGUCAGGGAUUUCCUACAUAUAGACAUGGGAUGAAAUGUAUUUGCACAGAGCUGUUCAAAUAAAAAAAUAAUGAUUACCUGCAAUGAGCAAACCGAAAACAGAGAAAUUUCUAAAGGAAACUGUCUCUCAUACUUGAUGCUGGGAUAUUGAUGAAGUAUAUUCUCAGGUUUUUUUUCUCCUUGUGAUAAACUUGACUCACCUUUUUUCCUAAUGCCAAAGCACAAAAUAGAUAUUUUUGUUAAUUUACUAAGAAGUUAAUUCUCUUUGCAAUUUUUUUAGACUAAUCAACAUAAUGACGUUGCAUAGAAAUAAAUUCUGGGAAAACAAAUCAUGCUUUUAUUCAUUCAUUCAUUCAUGCAAUAUUCACAUCUCAGCUCUUUAUGGGCAUUAUGAAGCUGUUACACACUGUAAGGUUAAAAGAGAGUUGCACAGAAAACAACUGAACUUGACAUCCAGAUUCCAUGAAGGUCACAGAGCAAGAAGGACUUCACACAAUUUCACAGAGUACUCAGGGCAAACAUCUUAUCCUACUGAAUUCUGAUAGGUGUCCACAUGCAAAUCCCUUCAUCUGAAUCCUACCAAAAGUAGGAGAAGGCUGGAUGCAGAUACAAUCUCUCCAAAUGGCCGUUGCCAGCUCUCAGCCUUCACUUCAGAUAUAAGCAGCUCCAAAUUUAGGAAAUAUUCAGAACCGCGUUUGGAGCACACAGGAAAUCUGCAAUCGAAUCCUACUUUUUAAUGCUGGAGUCUGAAUUUCUUGCUACCAACAGUGUCUGAGAGCUAAGGCAAUUCCAUCAGCCUGAAAGAGCAGGAUGUAAAAGGCUGGAUCCUCGCUAAUGUCAAUUAGAAGGGCUUCUGUAGCCAAUCAUGGUUAGAAAGGGAAGCAGAGAGGAAAAAGCUGGUGUGCAGCAUCCUGCAUCUGACCUGGUAGACGGACUGGCCUGACUCACAGCAGCUGCCGCAGCGGGCAGCAAACAGCCCUGAGAUUAAAGGCACAGUACAGAAAAGAAAAAAAGCAGAUAAAAACAAAUAAAUUAAAAAAA